GUGAGUCUAGAGAGAGUGUGGGCGGGGCAUGGUGAGUCUGGAGAGAGUGUGGGCGGGGCAUGGUGAGUCUGAAGGAAGUGUGGGCGGGUGGGGAGGUUGGAGGGUUUAUUUCCAGUAUGUGUGAAGGUUCUCUGUCAUCCAGGUCAUGGUUUAUCCAAAGACGUUUGUCCACUCAUCCAAGUGGUUUCCAGUCAUCUGUAAAUUGGUUUAAACUAGAAUCUAAAACUUCUCUCAACAUUUUCUCCUGAAAUUGAACGACCUGGUCUGACUCCUGGUCGCUCAUUGAGUGUAAUUUAAUCUGCAGACACGGGUUGAACGACUGUUUCCAUGGAGGGUACGUCUUUAUGCUGCCUACAUCCACUGAGUUUAAUCUGCUCUAGUUGUGUUUUAUAUUCACAUGUCUCCUGUGAGACUGGUGUUACCCUCAUUAUCAUCAUUAUCAAAUCCCAAGGGGAGAUCCCAACUCUUUUACUCUGACACCAGAAAAUUAUAAAUUCCUUUUGGAAAUAUAAUCUGGAUGUGACGAACCACAGAUCUGUAGGUAUCUUCAGGUAUCUGCAGGUAUCUUCAGGUAUCUACAGGUAUCUUCAGGUAUCUGUAGGUAUCUACAGGUAUCUUCUUGUUUCUGUUAAUUCCUGAGGGUCCGAUGUUCAAUGGUUCUCUACUGAAACUUGACAGCACUUAAAACAAACUGGUGUUACGUCCUUGUCGGACAAGGUCUAGAGGGGGUGGGGGGUGGGGUUGGGGUGUGGUCUGAAUACGACGCUGCCUUCAGGUCACUUGGGAAAGACUGUAAACCUGAGCCUCUUACUUGAAAACAGCCUCCGCCUCAGCUCCUGAACUGUGGACUGGACUGGAGACUGAGUCCAGGUCUCAGGAGGGUGGUGGAGGUCCAGUGUAGCCGUGGUGGACUCAUUUCAAAUAAAAACAGUUUUCAGAGAGCA